rnacentral:rRNA from 1 species
GGCAAGUGACUGGGUGCUAAUACAUGCAGUUGAGCGCUGAAGGUUGGUACUUGUACCGACUGGAUGAGCAGCGAACGGGUGAGUAACGCGUGGGGAAUCUGCCUUUGAGCGGGGGACAACAUUUGGAAACGAAUGCUAAUACCGCAUAAAAACUUUAAACACAAGUUUUAAGUUUGAAAGAUGCAAUUGCAUCACUCAAAGAUGAUCCCGCGUUGUAUUAGCUAGUUGGUGAGGUAAAGGCUCACCAAGGCGAUGAUACAUAGCCGACCUGAGAGGGUGAUCGGCCACAUUGGGACUGAGACACGGCCCAAACUCCUACGGGAGGCAGCAGUAGGGAAUCUUCGGCAAUGGACGAAAGUCUGACCGAGCAACGCCGCGUGAGUGAAGAAGGUUUUCGGAUCGUAAAACUCUGUUGGUAGAGAAGAACGUUGGUGAGAGUGGAAAGCUCAUCAAGUGACGGUAACUACCCAGAAAGGGACGGCUAACUACGUGCCAGCAGCCGCGGUAAUACGUAGGUCCCGAGCGUUGUCCGGAUUUAUUGGGCGUAAAGCGAGCGCAGGUGGUUUAUUAAGUCUGGUGUAAAAGGCAGUGGCUCAACCAUUGUAUGCAUUGGAAACUGGUAGACUUGAGUGCAGGAGAGGAGAGUGGAAUUCCAUGUGUAGCGGUGAAAUGCGUAGAUAUAUGGAGGAACACCGGUGGCGAAAGCGGCUCUCUGGCCUGUAACUGACACUGAGGCUCGAAAGCGUGGGGAGCAAACAGGAUUAGAUACCCUGGUAGUCCACGCCGUAAACGAUGAGUGCUAGAUGUAGGGAGCUAUAAGUUCUCUGUAUCGCAGCUAACGCAAUAAGCACUCCGCCUGGGGAGUACGACCGCAAGGUUGAAACUCAAAGGAAUUGACGGGGGCCCGCACAAGCGGUGGAGCAUGUGGUUUAAUUCGAAGCAACGCGAAGAACCUUACCAGGUCUUGACAUACUCGUGCUAUUCCUAGAAGAUAGGAAGUUCCUUCGGGAACACGGGAAUACAGUGGUGCAUGGUUGUCGUCAGCUCGUGUCGUGAGAAUGUUGGGUAAGUCCCGCAACGAGCGCACCCCUAUUGUAGUGCAUCAUAAGUGGGCACUCUAACGAGACUGCGUGAUAAACC